CAGUCGCCACGGUAAAACAGAGGAUGCAAGCGUUAUCCGGAAUGAUUGGGCGUAAAGCGUCUGUAGGUGGCUUUUCAAGUCCGCCGUCAAAUCCCAGGGCUCAACCCUGGACAGGCGGUGGAAACUACCAAGCUAGAGUACGGUAGGGGCAGAGGGAAUUUCCGGUGGAGCGGUGAAAUGCGUUGAGAUCGAAAAGAACACCAACGACGAAAGCACUCUGCUGGGUCGACACUGACACUGAGAGACGAAAGCUAGGGGAGCAAAUGGGAUUAGAUACCCCAGUAGUCCCUGUCUCUUAUAC
rnacentral:rRNA from 1 species